UUUGAUCCUGGCUCAGGACGAACGCUGGCGGCGUGCUUAACACAUGCAAGUCGAACGGAAAGGCCCUUCGGGUACUCGAGUGGCGAACGGGUGAGUAACACGUGGGUGAUCUGCCCUGCACUUCGGGAUAAGCCUGGGAAACUGGGUCUAAUACCGGAUAUGACCUUGGGAUGCAUGUCCUUUGGUGGAAAGCUUUUGCGGUGUGGGAUGGGCCCGCGGCCUAUCAGCUUGUUGGUGGGGUUAAGGCCUACCAAGGCGACGACGGGUAGCCGGCCUGAGAGGGUGACCGGCCACACUGGGACUGAGAUACGGCCCAGACUCCUACGGGAGGCAGCAGUGGGGAAUAUUGCACAAUGGGCGCAAGCCUGAUGCAGCGACGCCGCGUGAGGGACGACGGCCUUCGGGUUGUAAACCUCUUUCAGCACAGACGAAGCGCGAGUGACGGUAUGUGCAGAAGAAGGACC
rnacentral:rRNA from 1 species